CUGUUCCUACGGGACGCAGCAGUCGGGAAUAUUGCGCAAUGGAGGAAACUCUGACGCAGUGACGCCGCGUAUAGGAAGAAGGUUUUCGGAUUGUAAACUAUUGUCGUGAGGGAAGAAGAUGACAGUACCUCAGGAGAAAGCUCCGGCUAACUAUGUGCCAGCAGCCGCGGUAAUACAUAGGGAGCAAGCGUUAUCCGGAAUUAUUGGGUGUAAAGGGUGCGUAGACGGGGAAUUAAGUUAGUUGUGAAAUCCCUUGGCUUAACUGAGGAACUGCAACUAAAACUGAU
rnacentral:rRNA from 1 species